GGACGACGCUGGCGGCGUGCCUAAUACAUGCAAGUCGAGCGCGGGAAGCGGACAAUCACCCUUCGGGGUGUGCGUCCGUGGAACGAGCGGCGGAUGGGUGAGUAUCACGUGGGCAACCUGCCUGUAAGAUUGGGAUAACUCGCGGAAACGUGAGUUAAUACCGAAUGAAGUCUUUCGCCGCCUGGUGAAAGGAUGAAAGAUGGCUCUUGAGCUAUCACUUACAGAUGGGCCCGCGGCGCAUUAGCUAGUUGGUGGGGUAAAGGCCUACCAAGGCGACGAUGCGUAGCCGACCUGAGAGGGUGAUCGGCCACACUGGGACUGAGACACGGCCCAGACUCCUACGGGAGGCAGCAGUAGGGAAUCUUCCGCAAUGGACGAAAGUCUGACGGAGCAACGCCGCGUGAGUGAUGAAGGUCUUCGGAUCGUAAAACUCUGUUGUCAGGGAAGAACAAGUUGUGUUCUAACAGGACAUGACCUUGACGGUACCUGACCAGAAAGCCCCGGCUAACUACGUGCCAGCCGCAGC
rnacentral:rRNA from 1 species